AAUCAAUACUCAGCACCUUUGAAGAUCAAGCCAUAACGAAUUACAUAUUGCACCACUGCAGAGUUCUUUGCCUUACACUUUUAACCAUAUACAAACACAUUUAUAGUUUAUACGCAAAUAUACUAGCAAAGAUAAAGUGACAACAAUGAGUUUAGGUUUAGUGUUUAAAAACAAAUCCAAUUGCCAGUCCCUCAGCAGACUUCCAUCAUUUUAUUAUUUAAAUAGAUUUUUCUUUAAUUUGGACAUAGAUUUUUCUCCUGUAACACUGCAUCAUUUUGAUACUGCCUGAGACUGAGAGAACAAAACUGAGGAGAGAAAAGAGGAAAACCGCCUAAUCUGGUUUUACUAGCCAAGCUAAGUGAAAUGUAAAAGGUAAUAGCAUAAAUAGUUAAGCAAGAAGUGCUGGAUUAUUUACCUUUUUCAUUUGUACUAAGUUGUUAGUAACUGGACUUGAAAUAAUUUUAACUUGCACAGCAAAUUACACUUAAUCUUUGGCCAGAAAGAGCAGUGUGUGUCAGCACAGCAUUUCUGAAUGGACAUCACAACUAGCAGCUAGAUUGACAGUGACACAGACCCAUCAGGUACAGGGUCUCUUCCAAGAAAUAACAAGAAACAAAGCCCGGAGUUGACCAAAUCUCCUGGGGAGCAAUUACUACUUAACAAGCUUCCUGAGCUUGUUUAUGUUCCCUCCUAGCUAAGGUCUUUCUGACCACAGGGUAAUAAUUUGAUAAUAAGAGAUCCUGAUUAAAUUAAGAGGCCAUUUGCUAGAGCAUAAUGUCUCAGUAGGUAAGAGAUUUGAUUUGCAGUAGAUGCUCUUGCUUCUCAGUGCUGCAUAUAUGUCUGGUUGUUUAAAAGCCAGACCAAAUAACCUUUACCUUUUAAAUAGGAUUAUUAGUAACCAAUUCACUGAGACUAGACUGACAUCUUGACAUUUUUUCUGUCACUUAAAAAAACCCAAACAGUCACUCUCCCGGAAGCAGAGAUUCUGUGGUGUGGAUAUGUGACAUAUAGUAUGUACAGAUCUGGACUGGUGAUAGUGCAGAGGUAAGCCUACCUUCAUCCAUCACGUUCAAUAACAGGGCCUAACUAGAUCUACAGGCAUCCAUCUGGUCGUGUCCUGUUGAUCUUAAGAGAUUCCCCAGUUCCACUCCAGUAUCAUCCUCCUCCUUCUUUAAUGGUCCCUCUGUAAGAACAAGGCUGUUAAGAGCAGAAAAUUAUACAAAAAGCAGAAUAUGCACAAUAAAGUCUCCAGAAACAUAGGAAACUGUCUGGUGAAACAAGAGGAAAGAGAUGAGCCUAAGAUCUGAUGUAGAAAAAAUAAAGGAUAUUUACAAAAACACAGUGUUAGAUGACAUAACAGGGAGACGGGGAGUUUAACCCAUUUAAAAAUAUACAAUAUAUUGUUCACAUCAAAAAUCUCCCUAGGAUUUAUGGCAAUGCCAAUGGUUGGAUUGUUCUGUACUGUUAUGCUGUCAGCACAGAGAAAGCAAAGGGUCUAUGUCAUAUAUAAUAAUUGGUCUCUGACCACACCUAGUCCAUUAGUACUGGUGCAGGCUGUAAAUACAACCUCAUUACUUCUGACUCUUCGGAUUAGCAGACGAGAAGGGGAUCAAACUACAGCACCAACCUUUUAGAAGCCAGAAAUUCAAGAGAAAGCUGCAGAACAAAAGCAGAUAAAACCAGAAACUUUAAGAAGUAAAUACAGUCAUCUAGCCCACGUGGUAGGAUGGAAUUCAGUUUGCUCCAACUGGAGGUAUACCAUUUGGAAGAAAAAUGAUCCUUUUUGAUCAGGAGACUUUAGUGGGGAGCAGAGUGUGAGACAACCACAGAAAUCCCAUCUGGCUUGUGGUGCUUGGACGAACCAUGCAGGAGUCCUUUGCUGUCCACUUCCUGAAAGUGCUGAAGGAGCUCCUGGCCUUUGUGCUGUUCAGUUACACGGUGCUGAUUGGGGCACUGCUCCUGGCUGGCUGGACAACUUAUUUUUUGGUGCUUAAGUGACAGUCCCCCUCUAACUUCUCUGGCCACAGACUAGUCCAGAAUGUGCAGCAGUAACCACCAAGUACCCUGCAACUGGCGUCUGCUCAACAAAUAGUAUGUCAGUUCCUUUUGGCUCCACAAACUUUGCAAGUCUUUGUUUUAUUAUUGGCUAAAUACAAUCUUAUUUUCUUAUGUAAAUCAAAAAAAUUAUUAAAAAACACCUUGAUGACCCCCAGUGGCUCUUCCAGACUCAAUCUUUGGGAUCAACUCUGCCCCAUGCCUGAAGGAUCAGAAAGAUUGCUGCCAAUUUUGUCUUCUGAUCAAUCUGCUCCUCUUUGACAUCACUCCUGAGAAUAGCAGCUUGUUGAGGGUGGCAAUGAAAGGGAGGGAGAAAGCCCAGAAGUGGUGCAGAACCAUUAGAGUGUGAGCUGGCUUCUGAGCAAUCAAGUCCAGACAUGUCUGCUUCAAUCAGCCUUGUUAUGGAGAUGAAGGCAGAGAGAUGCUUAACUUUUUAUUUCUGAUCCUCUUAUUCAGUUCUGGACGUGCUUCCCUCAAAUCAGCAUAACCCACAUGUCUCCUCUCUUUUUGUUUCCACAUUUUUAUCUGAUGGUGUCCAGUUUGGGGUUAAGUUUCCCAGCCUUUCCCACCAGACUGUGAUAUUAGCAUAUUUGGAAGAGUUGAAACCAGCAAGGCAAGAGUUUUACUGGAACCAUGCUGUACAAGAAAGCACUCAAAAUAUCCUGUGCAACUAACCUGUUCCCAGGAGAGAGGGAAUAAAAUGAUCUGCUAGGAUUUUCUGUAAUUUCUAUAAAAGCAGCAAAGAAUCCUGUGGCACCUUAUAGACUAACAGACGUUUUGGAGC